CACGUAGGGUGCGAGCGUUGUCCGGAAUUAUUGGGCGUAAAGAGCUCGUAGGCGGUGUGUCGCGUCGGCCGUGAAAACCUGCAGCUUAACUGUGGGCUUGCGGUCGAUACGGGCAUCACUGGAGUUCGGCAGGGGAGACUGGAAUUCCUAGGUGUAGCGGUGAAAUGCGCAGAUAUCAGGAGGAACAUCGGUGGCGAAGGCGGGUCUCUGGGCCGAUACUGACGCUGAGGAGCGAAAGCGUGGGGAGCGAACAGGAUUAGAUACCG
rnacentral:rRNA from 1 species